CGGACCUGCCGCGGCUAACAGCCGCCGCCGCCGCCGCUUUCGGGGGUCGCAGCUCGCUCCCUGUUGCCAGGGCGAGCGCCCCGCUCCGCCUCCGCCUCCUCCUGCGCGCGCGGGGGGGGGGUGUUGUCCGGUGAAUUCGUGCGAACCCAGAGGGGUGCCUCCUCGGCCCUUACGCGCGCGCUGGAAAGAAGCGCGCUUUGCCUUGCAGCCUGGGGGGUCCAUAUGUAUCAUAACGGUUCUGGAAAUAACAAAGGAAUGAUGUGGCUUUUUCGUUAAAGAGAGCAUAUCAGCCAGAGCCAGUGAGCCCAUCUGAACAUUCACAGUGAAGAUGUGUGGUGGCCCAUUCAAUGUGACAAAGGUAAUCAGAUAUCCCACCAAAUUUUGGUCCGCAUUCUCUCUACCUCUACAAGUUGUUAUUAAAAAAUAGUGACGAGUAGAAGACUCAGAAUUGGACCGUGUGGAGCUCCAGCCAGUACAAUCUCCAUAUGUUGGAGAGAUCCUGUAUUCAGACCUCAUGUAAAAUUCCCCCUUACAGAAGAAGUCAUGAUACAUUCAUUGCAAAGGACUAA